UACAGAGGGGGCAAGCGUUGUUCGGAAUUACUGGGCGUAAAGGGCGCGUAGGCGGCCUGCUAAGUCGAACGUGAAAUCCCCGGGCUCAACCCGGGAACUGCGUCCGAUACUGGUAGGCUUGAAUUCGGGAGAGGGAUGCGGAAUCCAGGUGUAGCGGUGAAAUGCGUAGAUAUCUGGAGGAACACCGGUGGCGAAGGCGGCAUCCUGGACCGACAUUGACGCUGAGGCACGAAGGCCAGGGGAGCAAACGGG
rnacentral:rRNA from 1 species